UACGGAGGAUCCAAGCGUUAUCCGGAUUUAUUGGGUUUAAAGGGUGCGCAGGUUGUUUGAUAAGUCAGUGGUGAAAGUCUGUCGCUUAACGGUAGGAUUGCCAUUGAUACUGUUAGACUUGAAUAUGGAUGAGGUAGGCGGAAUGUGUAGUGUAGCGGUGAAAUGCAUAGAUAUUACGCAGAACACCGAUUGCGAAGGCAGCUUACUAAUCCAUCAUUGACGCUGAGGCACGAAAGCGUGGGGAUCAAACAGGA
rnacentral:rRNA from 1 species